ensembl:lncRNA
GGCACCGAGUUCACAGCUCAUUCCAGAGCCCCAGAACCCCAUGGGGUUGUCUAUUAGGAACCAGGUCCCCCAGCUGGCUUAGAGCAUGGCUGAUGAUCCCUCACUUCCCUGGCUCAGAUGGGGGGCUCGCUGUGCAGCCCACACGGGCAUGUGGGCAGGGGGCUGGGAGGCAGGGCCCCCCACUCCUCCUGGUUGGUCUUCAGGGCCCUCUCUGGUUGAAUCACCAGGCAAAAACACACAGCUCUGACACCAUCCAGAAAAUGAAAAUGUCUCCGGCAUCUAAUCCUUCCCUUUCUUUUGUCAACUUAAAUCUCCCUGAAACAUAACCGAGAUACCAGACGCAGUGUGAGCGUUCAUGAUGGAGCCGGCCUCCUCCCAUAAAGCCGGCCUCAGGGACUUUGUGCAGCAGAGCAAUGCCUCCAGUCAGGCUCUACCUCACCAGUCUCCCCAGCAGUUUGAUACUCAUGGAACUGAGGCUCAAAGGAGGGACUUCUGACGAUCUCAGAAUUCCACCUGGGCAGGUCGGAGAGUUCACAGCCCCUCGUCACUCGGAGGAAGGGAAUGCAGAGGAGCAAGGAUGCAGGUUCCUGAGACCAUACAGAGCUCGCCUGUGGUCCCCGACACCUGGGCGUCUCUUGGAUGACGGCAGUUUGCCUUGAACAGGACCGGUACCUAAGCAGAGGUGGCAGCGAACCCUCUUUUAGAAUUAUCUGCUAAUACAGACCAGGGCCAAGGACGACAGCAGAAACAGAACAGCUGGUGCUUAAGGGAGAUGGGAUCGGCAGUGCUUUAUUCCAAGGAUUUGAUAUUUUAAGUUAUUGUUGUUGUUAU